AGGGGACAUGUAUUCAUUUUUUACCAAUUUUUUUUUUUUUUCCUUGCUCUGUAUAUGAAGACCAACACAGAGGAGGUGGCAAGCGCAGCAGCUGUAAAAGAAUG
rnacentral:ribozyme from 14 species